UCCGGUUGAUCCUGCCGGAGGCCACUGCUAUCGGGGUCCGACUAAGCCAUGCGAGUCACGGGGGUGUCCCUUUGGGGCACCACCGGCGGACGGCUCAGUAACACGUCGGUAACCUACCCUCGGGAGGGGGAUAACCCCGGGAAACUGGGGCUAAUUCCCCAUAGGCCUGAGGUACUGGAGGGUCCUCAGGCCGAAAGGGACUUAUGUCCGCCCGAGGAUGGGCCGGCGGCCGAUUAGGUAGUUGGUGGGGUAAUGGCCCACCAAGCCGAAGAUCGGUACGGGCUGUGAGAGCAGGAGCCCGGAGAUGGACACUGAGACACGGGUCCAGGCCCUACGGGGCGCAGCAGGCGCGAAACCUCCGCAAUGCGGGAAACCGCGACGGGGGGACCCCGAGUGCCGUGGCAACGCCACGGCUUUUCCGGAGUGUAAAAAGCUCCGGGAAUAAGGGC
rnacentral:rRNA from 1 species